UAAGCGGUUCGUCCAACAUCUCUUUCUCUUCGCCGUCUUCUUCCUCUCAACUUUCGACCUCCCCUAUGACAUUUGUAACAAAAGUUUUGUUUUUGUUGUGUUUUCCCCAGAAAAUGAUAGAAAGUAUCUAAAGGAAAACACCUCCACGUUUUUUUUUCCAUCUCGUAGGUAAAGCAUAUCAGGAGUUCAAGUUGUGUUUUGCCGUACGCUUAAGGGAUUCAAUAUUGAAAUGUGAGUAUGGAGAAGAAACGAGAGAUCUGUGAGUACAGAGAGAGACUUGACAAGACCUUGGUCUCUCCUGACCUCACCAAACACCAAACUCUCGAAACGUUAAUCAGACAACAACUCAAUCAAGAGUGUACUGUGGAUGUAUUGGAUCAGAGAGUAUCUGAUUUAUCUAGGAUUUUUGCAUAAGAGGAGUAAUAUGUGGAAGAGAGUCAGAGUAAAAGAGCAAUAAUUGUUUCCAAAUUUUGAGGAAAUUCCAAGCUGCAAUCAAAGGAAGAGAUUAAGAGUUUAUAAAAACUUAGUCUGGAAUUGAGGAAUGAUAUGGCGGAGGCAACCUUGCAUUAAAUCUCUAAAGAAUCGUUAGUCAUCUUAAGAGGUGAGAUCUUCCUGUCCUGUGGCGCUCUGCAGAAUAGAAUAGGACAUGGUCGAUUGUUUCCCUUAUGAGGUCCCUGAAGAGUAUAUAAACAUGCAUUUUCUCAAGGGAAGAGCCACUGUGUACGUGAAGUUCAAGAUCAAGGAAAACCCAAACCUUGAGGAUUGUAUUUUCCUCAUUAUCCUCGACGGCUAUAACGCCCCUGUUACCGCCAGGAACUUUGUGGACUUGGUGAAGCGUCAUUUCUACGAUGCAUGGGUAUCCAAAUAUGUAUUGGGUUUGUACAAGGCUCAUGUUAUGCUUCCAUUUGGGACAAUGGCAGUGGCUAGAGAAGAUCGAGCCAAGUGCUUUGGCUGCUGCUGAAGAGAGUGAGCUGACGUCAAGCAAUUCCAACAUCUUGGACGGUCGUUACGCUAUCUUCGGCUAUGUUACUCAAAAUGAAAAUUUUUAGGCUGAUCUUAAAUUUGGUGAUGUCAUUAAGUCCAUUCAAAUUGUCUCCGGUUGAGAAGAACAUGUUUUUGCACAAGAGAAAACAAAAAAAACAGAGUAUGCGACUAAGAAUAAGAAGAUAAAUCUGAAUAGUCUAACAGAAGCUACCCCAGCUACGACAACAAGACAAGGGUUUUUUUUUGCUCUUUGGGGUUUAAGAGUUUGAAUUAGCCAAAAGUAAAGACAUGUUAUUUGCAUUUGUGUUAGCACUGACAGGAAACAUGUUAUAAAGCAACAUGUUGCUACUUUUUUUUUUUUUUUUUGUAACACACAUGUUGCUACUUUUUUUGUAUUAGAUAUAUAUUUCAGUGUUUAGUUACUUUUAACAUCAGAAAGUGAAAUUCUA